UACGUAUGGAGCAAGCGUUAUCCGGAAUUACUGGGUGUAAAGGGAGCGUAGACGGAUGUGCAAGUCUGAUGUGAAAGGCGGGGGCUCAACCCCUGGACUGCAUUGGAAGCUGUAAAUCUUGAGUGCCGGAGAGGUAAGCGGAAUUCCUAGUGUAGCGGUGAAAUGCGUAGAUAUUAGGAGGAACACCAGUGGCGAAAGCGGCUCUCUGGUCUGUAACUGACGCUGAGGUUCGAAAGCGUGGGUAGCAAACAGG
rnacentral:rRNA from 1 species